UGGGGAAUAUUGCACAAUGGAGGGAACUCUGAUGCAGCGACGCCGCGUGAACGAAGAAGGCUUUCGAGUCGUAAAGUUCUUUUAUAUGGGAAGAUAAUGACGGUACCAUAAGAAGAAGCCCCGGCUAACUACUUGCCAGCAGCCGCGGUAAUACGUAGGGGGCUAGCGUUGUCCGGAAUCACUGGGCGUAAAGGGUUCGCAGGCGGAAAUGCAAGUCAGGUGUAAAAGGCAGUAGCUUAACUACUGUAAGCAUUUGAAACUGCAUAUCUUGAGAAGAGUAGAGGUAAGUGGAAUUUUUAGUGUAGCGGUGAAAUGCGUAGAUAUUAAAAAGAAUACCGGUGGCGAAGGCGACUUACUGGGCUCAUUCUGACGCUGAGGAACGAAAGCGUGGGUAGCAAACAGG
rnacentral:rRNA from 1 species